rnacentral:rRNA from 1 species
GACGAACGCUGGCGGCGUGCUUAACACAUGCAAGUCGAACGAAGAGCGAUGGAAGCUUGCUUCUAUCAAUCUUAGUGGCGAACGGGUGAGUAACGCGUAAUCAACCUGCCCUUCAGAGGGGGACAACAGUUGGAAACGACUGCUAAUACCGCAUACGAUCUAAUCUCGGCAUCGAGGAUAGAUGAAAGGUGGCCUCUACAUGUAAGCUAUCACUGAAGGAGGGGAUUGCGUCUGAUUAGCUAGUUGGAGGGGUAACGGCCCACCAAGGCGAUGAUCAGUAGCCGGUCUGAGAGGAUGAACGGCCACAUUGGGACUGAGACACGGCCCAGACUCCUACGGGAGGAAGCAGUGGGGAAUCUUCCGCAAUGGACGAAAGUCUGACGGAGCAACGCCGCGUGAGUGAUGACGGCCGUCGGGUUGUAAAGCUCUGUUAAUCGGGACGAAAGGCCUUCUUGCGAACAGUUAGAAGGAUUGACGGUACCGGAAUAGAAAGCCACGGCUAACUACGUG